rnacentral:ncRNA from 1 species
UAAGCAGGUUUUAAUAUUCCCUGCUUGUCUCUUGUAACUGAAGAGAUACCACAGGGAUAACUAGCUUGUGGUGGGCAAGUGUUCAUAGCGACGUUGCUUUUUGAUCCUUGAAUGUUGGCUCUUCCUCUCACCGUGCAGCAGUAUUCACCCACUAAUAUGGAACCUGAGCUGGGUUUAGACCAAUGUGAGACUAUGUAGUUUUACCCUGGUGAUGAUGCAUUGUUGAAGAAGCAAUCCUGCACAGUACGAGAGGACCUGCAGUUUCAGACAUUUGCUGUCUGUGCUUGACUGAGUAGCCAAUGGUGUGAAGCUGCCAUCUUUAAGAUUAUGACUGAACACCUCUAAGUCAGAAUCGCCCCUAAAACGAUACAGAGCAGUCAUCCACAGAUGGGACAUGCUUAAAAAUCAGCGAGGUCUAAGUCUUAAUGCGGUUACAGUAGGUGUCAGUAGCCACAUACUCCUCACAGCAGUAUGGAUCGAUGUGUAUUAACUGAAAAGUCUGCUUACCCCACAGUUCGAUUGCAGGUACAUUUUUGUGGAGAUGUAGACUAAAGAAGUGC